rnacentral:lncRNA from 1 species
GUACUCACAUUUAAAUCGAUUAAUGAAUCCAUUGCCACACGUCAUGGACUCAGUGGCCACCUGGGUGGCCCCGAAUUUGCAGGGUCAUCAUCUACGGGAGCUUUCAGACCUGCCAUCCCUCUUACAACAUUACCACAGGACGCAGACUGUGAGUCCUGCUCACUACCCCUCACUACUGCUAUAGAAGCCAUGGGAGCAGGGCACCCAAGACCAGAGGAGGGAGCCUUGCUCUGAAACAGCUCUAAA